GGAAGAGUGACCGAGUGGUUGAAGGAGCCCGCCUGGAAAGCGAGUGUACCUCAAAAGGGUACCGGGGGUUCGAAUCCCCCCUCUUCCG
rnacentral:tRNA from 1 species